rnacentral:rRNA from 1 species
GACAGAGGGUGCGAACGUUGUUCGGAAUUACUGGGCGUAAAGCGCGUGUAGGCGGCAGCGCAAGUCGGGCGUGAAAUCCCACGGCUCAACCGUGGAAGUGCACUCGAAACUGCGCAGCUAGAGUCCUGGAGAGGAAGGUGGAAUGCUUGGUGUAGAGGUGAAAUUCGUAGAUAUCAAGCGGAACACCGGUGGCGAAGGCGACCUUCUGGACAGUGACUGACGCUGAGACGCGAAAGCGUGGGGGAGCAAACAGGG